CAUAGCGACUAUCGUGGCAUAUCAAUAAGCGGAGGAAAAGAAACUAACUAGGAUUCCCUCAGUAACGGCGAGUGAAGCGGGAAGAGCUCAAAUUUGAAAUCUUCAAGGUUCUACCUUGACGAAUUGUAGUUUAAAGAAGUGUUUUCUGUUGGAGUUUUGGUAAAAGUUCUUUGGAAUAGGACAUCAUAGAGGGUGAGAAUCCCGUAUUUGACCAUUAUUUCCAACUUUGUGAUACACUUUCAAAGAGUCGGAUUGUUUGGGAAUGCAGUCCAAAAUGGGUGGUAAAUUUCAUCUAAAGCUAAAUACUGGCGAGAGACCGAUAGCGAACAAGUACCGUGAGGGAAAGAUGAAAAGAACUUUGAAAAGAGAGAUUAAACAGUACGUGAAAUUGUCAAAGGGGAAGCGUUUGACACCAGUGUUGUUUUCUCGAAAAUCAAUUAAAAAUGGUGGGAUGUUGUGUUGUAUUGACUUUAUCAGCUUUCUGCACUUUUUUCCUGUCUUUUUUAAUGCACUUUUCGUUUAACAAGUCAACAUCAAUUUCUUUUGCUGUAAAAGAGUCAUUGGAAGGUGGCUUUCUUUUCGGAGAAAGUGUUUAUAGCCUUUGACUUCUGCAGUCGGAAGAGAUUGAGGUCUGCAGCGUAGAUCCUUCGGGGUUAGAUACAUUUGUGCUAAGCUAUAGCCUUUCAUAGACAACUUGUUGACUAUGAUCAGUCAUGUAGCUUACUCGCUUAUGCUAUUUUACCUACGCUUAGGAUGUUGACGAGACUGUCGAUCUC
rnacentral:rRNA from 1 species